UACAUGAGUGGUGAGCGUUAUUCCCUAUGGUUGGGUGUAAAAAAUCCUUAGGAGUAGACAUGAGUUGCUAGUCUACAAAAAAAAUUAUUAAUUAACUUUGUACCUUAGGUAUUUAUAGGGGUAAAAUUCUACGAAAAAUGCUAUAGGUCGGAAGGUGAAAACAUUAUAAGGAAUUAAUAAGUUGACUUAGGGAUGAAAGUAUAGGUAGUGGCGAGGAUUAGAGACCCUUUUAAUCUAUACUGUAAAUGAUGGUUGCUAGUUAUCAAAAAGCGCUAACGUUAGAGCAAUCUACCUGGGGCCUAAAACCGCAAGGUUAAAACUUAAAGAAAUUGGCGGGACUUUUAUAAUGGUGGAACAUGUGAUUUAAUGCGGUAAUCCUCGCAAAAUCUUACUAGAGUAUUUAUAUUAUACAAAUUUUUAUGAGUAAAUUUAUGUAAAUAUGCUUUGGUAUUGCAUGGCUGUCGUCAGUUCGUGCUGUGAAGUGUUGUGUUGAGUCAUCAAAACGAACGCAUCCCAAUAAUAUAUUAUUAUAAUAUAUUAUUAUUUAUGGCUGAAGUCAAGUCUUUAUGGUCUAUGUACUCUAGGCUACACACGUGUUACAAUGGUAAAAACAAUAUGAAAUGAAAGUUAAUACUUAAAUAAAUCAUAAAAAAUUACCAUGUUCGGAUUAUUAUUUUUAGUCAAUAAUAUGAAGAUGAAAUCAUAAGUAAUCACAGCAUAGGAUGAUGUGGUGAAAUAUUUUUUUAAAAGUUUGCACACACUGCCCAUCACGCUCAGAGAGUCAUGUCUAUUUAAAGAAGUAUAGGAAUAGAUUUUUUCAAGUAGUAUUCAAAAGACUAUUUCAAGGUACUUUAUAGAAUUAAAUGUGGUAAUUGGAGUGAAGUUG
rnacentral:rRNA from 1 species